rnacentral:lncRNA from 1 species
AUGCUACAGAUGAGGGCCCCAGCAGGUGGGGGUGGGGGAGCGGAGACCCUCGGCACAGCCCGGGCAGGUCAGCCGGUGCAGAACAGGUCAGAUGGGCUUCCGUUCGGCCCGGGUCUCCACUUUCAAGGACAGGAGUCCAGCUCUGGCGCAAGCUCUGUUGGGCCUCAUUCCUGGGAACCCAGGCCCGACCUGAGACCCUCACCAAAGCGGCUCCCAAGUCCAAAGUCAGCAGGAGGCCUUCCCGGCCCCUCUCCCAGAGGCCAGGGACACAGCACGGAGGCUCCAGUGCAGAACACACCCCUUUGUGCACUGACUCUGCACGCGGGGCUGGUGCUCACUUCUUGCCCACAGCCCACGGGGUCUCCCGUGCAAUUAGACACGCGUGUGGGGAAUCCAGGCACACACGUGCUGCUGCACACACGUCCUCAGAACCUUCUGAGAACCCGGGGACAUCUAUGCUGGGGGGGGGAGCUCCAGGGCAGCCCACACACCCCGUUCCCACACGCAAGGCCUCCCUCCAUGGGCGACACUCACGUCCCUGGGCAGUGGGCUGCGGGCAUCUUAGCUGUGAGCCAGGUGCCCGCUUCCACUGUGGCAUUCUGACACGCACACGCGGAGCACAUAGAGUGCGUGCUGUCUGCUGACUGGGCCAGAGUCACGUUUCCACAUGCUUGCUUUGGGUUAGAAAAGCAACAGGACAGAUGCAGGUGCCUGCUCCCAGCCCCCAGUCCCCAGCACCCAGUGCUGAGUUUUCUUUUUUUAAAAGUUUUUUUUUUUUUAAUUAUUUGAAAGAGUUACACACACAGAGAGAGAGAGAGAGCGAGAGAGCGAGUUUCCAUCUGCUGGUUCCCUCCCCAGAUGGCUGUAACAGCCAGUCAGGGCUGGACCACGCUGAAGCCAGGAGCCAGGAGCUCCAUCCUCACCUCCCAGGUGGGUGCAGGGGCCCAGGCACUUGGGCUGUCUUCCACUGCUUUCCCAGGUGCCUAUUAGCUGGGAGCUGGAUCAGAAUUGGAGCAGCCACGACAUAAGCCAGGCACACCUAUGUGGGUUGUGGACGUCGUCCCAGGCGACAUUUUUUUUUUUUAAUUUAUUUAUUUGAAAGGCAGAGUUACAGAGAGGCAGAGGGAGAGAGAGGGAGAGACAGAGAGGUCUUCCAUCUGCUGGUUCACUCCCCAGAUGGCCGUAACAGCUGGAGCUGCGCUGAUCCAAAGCCAGGAGCCAGGAGCUUCUUCCAGGUCUCCCAUGUGGGUGCAGGGCCCCACGGACUUGGGGCAUCUUCUGCUACUUUCCCAGGUGCAUUAGGAGGGAGCUGGAUGGGAAGUGGAGCAGCUGGGACUUGAACCAGCAUCCUUAUGGGAUGCCGGCACUACAGGUGGUGGAUUUACCUGCUAUGCCACAGCACCGGCCCCCAAGCACCUUAACCACUGUGCCACACACCUGGCCCCUGCACGGCCACUAUGAAGAGCCUGCCUAUGUGUGUUUUUUAAAACCAGUUUUUUUUGCACUAAAAUAAACUCAUCCAUUUCUUCCCCUCA